rnacentral:lncRNA from 1 species
ACUGCACGAGAAGUUUAGCUGUUAAAGAACCUUUCCCUGAUGCAUGGAAUAACCUUAUGCUACUCUUUGAAGAGGUAAGAGUUCUUUUUUUUAUUUUUAUUUUUCAUCCUUGCCUUUUUACCAAAACUAUGUAACAAAAGAGGAAGGAGGGAGGUAAACUCAGUAAUUUUACUUGUAGUUUUUAGAAUUCUUUGCUUUAUUUUUAAAUUUGAUUUUUGAAGUUAAGUAGUUAGGAAUCUAUUGUUUCUUCUGAUUUUGCAGAACGGGUCAUCCCAUCUGUCUUCGCUUUCCAGUGAGACACACAUCGAUUUGUUAAAGCCAUUUGAAAAAGUCUCCUUGCAGGCCGCACCACAGUCUCUCACUGGAUCUUCAAACAAGAGUAACUUGGAAACUAACAACAUCUUUUCUACUGCAAAAACUGAACUCUGGCCCCUCUUUGUGAGAUUGAUAAGUUUUUUCCUUGGGAGAUCCAGGUAAUUAGAGCAACACAAUAUUCUCUUGAUCUGACUUAUAUUCUGGCUAACCCAUCAGAAGACAACAAACAGGAUUAGUCCCUGCUGAUUUUGUGACUAUUUUCAUUUCUGUUAUUAGUUAUGGUGCUUGUGAAGAUAAAAAAAUCAUGUUGUUAUUUGCUAUUACUUGUGUGGCGGACCAUUAGUUAGUCAAGCUUGCAAGAACGCGUUUUAACUGGGUCACUCCGUAGCAAACUCGGCAAGUUUAGUAGGUGUAGCCUAAGGCAUGGUAUAUCUUUCUUGAAUUUAUUUGGAAUAUCAUCCUACAAACUGGUCGAGAUCAUCACCUUAAUUCUCUCAGUUCCCUGUUUGGGAACAACAGGGAAAUUCCCUUUUUGCGAACUACAGGGUGGAUGUCAGAGAAAUAGUGAAUUUUUGCUGAUUGAAGAGGAACUGAUAUUGUAGUUGACUGAUUUAAACACCAAAACUCCACUAUGGCCUGUGGAGUAGUAAGAAAAGCAUUUGGUGCAUCUGAUUUAGUUGAGAGUGAGACCAUGAGAGGUUAUUUAGUUGGCGAUUUAUGUCCUCCAUAAAUUUAUGAGAAGAGGCUACGAUAAAGUGAACUUAGAACUAGAGGCUGAUGAAGAUUUUUCUACAUCUCAGCUUUUAAUUGCGAAUUAUACUGGUUACUGGACCAUUCCUGCAACAUCAUUAUAGUACUUGCUUGUGUUGAACGCAGCGAUUAAUAGAGUUAAUAGGUAGUUCAAUAGAUGAUGACACACAUCAAUCAUUUACCAAUUUUGUUAAAGCCCCUUGGUUGUAUGGUGACAAUUCUCUUAUCUUCUGGCUUAUGGAUCCUUGAGCAUUUUGAGAAUUAUGACACUGGCAUGCAAUUUUGUUAUUUUACAAUGACAUGUAAUGCUUAUAUAUGCCAGAAAGAAGAUGUGACUGGCUUAUAAGGGCUUGUGUUAUGUGCUUUUUACAUCUUAAUUAAGCAUUUUGGGUCAUGAUUUUGGGUUCUAAAAGUUAACGAGCUAGUGCACAUCUAGGUUGUUACAGGUCCUGAACUUCAAGAUGGAUGUGAAGCGCAAUAAGUAUAUGCACAAUAUAGAGAAAAUUUGUCCUGGUUUUAAGCCCUUAUCUAUUUUGAAAGUCCUUUCACAUGCUUCUACCUUGUAAGUUACCCUCCUUCCCGACAGAGCAGAGGGAACUAAAAGAAAAUUGAGAAAUAUCUAAAAUUCUUUUGGGGCUUAUUUUGUUUGCUUUAUGUGAAGACACUGUGAUUUGGGAGUGUUCCUAUGCUUAUAAUGUCAAUACAGCUUGAAAGCUGUACUAUUGUUGCAGAAGAUGUUUUACCUACUUUCUGCAUUUUUUCUUUUGGAAAUGCAAACUUUAUUAAUGGUUUUACACUAGAGUGCUCCAGUUGCACUCUAGGUACUCGAAUACUUGGGGCCUUUUGAUACAAAUCAUUAAAAGACUCUAUGGUGCUAUCUAAUUCUUGUGGAUGGUGGUUGUGGUGUUUUUAAUGUUUCAUUUUUAUUUGGUUCGAUCACAAUUUUCUGUACAGCCUCAAUAAAUCACGUACCAAUGUAUUCAACUUAUUCUUGGAAAUAUGAUACUAAGAACCAGGAAGAUUGGUAAAGAUGCAUAAAUUAAAAUUGCAUGUCUAGGUGAUACUCUUGUACAUUGAGACCAAGUUAUUUUCUUUUUCCCUGUCCUCUUCUCUGGCAAUUCAUGCAUAUAAGUUUGCAUGUUUCUGUCUGGCUUCUUUCUUCUGGAAGGCUGCUAUGUUAUGUGAAUGUCUAAUUGAUUCUGAAGUUAACCAUGAUGUUUUCCUUGUCAUGCAGUUUGGAGGAAUUCGAAAGCACUCUUUCUUCCAGUGUCGAACAUUUGGAAUCUUUGGUACUUUUAGAUGAUGAGCAACUAAAAGCUGCUUUGGAGUCAUAUAAGCUGAUGGAUUCAUCCAGAAAAGGCCCUUAUCGUGCACUUCAACUUGUUUCAAUAUUCAUCUUCAUCUUACAUAACCUUACAGAAAGCCCUCAGAAUGAGAAGCUGAAUGAAAAUGACAAGCAGCAGAAAUCUGGGCUGACCCAAUUGGCUCUAAUUGCUACAUAUAUUUGUAUUGCUCGCCUUCUUGAGAGAUGUCUAAAGUGCAAUCAACUGGAGAAGUGUCUGCUUUUGCCUGCUGUGCUGGUCUUUGUUGAAUGGCUGGUUGGAGCACUUGAUGAAGUAGAAAAAUAUGCUGCCGAUGACAAAGUUAUGAGUGCCAUGUCCUACUUUUUUAGUGCUCUUGCUGAUCUUCUCAACCGAUUUAAUAUAGGAGAGGGUGAAACUGCUUGCGAUAAAUCUGCUCUUUGGGAAGAUCAUGAAUUGAGGGGUUUUGAGCCAAUGGCCAAUGCACAUGCCUCUCUGGAUUUUACGAGUACUCACUGGGAAUGGAUGGCGACUUUGGAUUCAAAACGUUCGCAUCGGAUCUUUCAUGCAGGAAUGAGGAUUGUGAACAGAUCUGCUAAUAAUAAACAGUGGAUUUUUUGUGACAAAAAAGGAUUGAAAUUCUUUACCUUUGGGUCAAUGGAACUUUUAGGCCAAGGAAAAACAGUAGGGGUAUCUAAUUUAAAUGUUAAAGUCAAGGAGGUGGAUGAACAGAUUAGUAGAAAUGUAGAAGUACAUGAACAAGAUUCUCUUGGGGAAACUCAACCUCAACGUUGUCAAAAGAGUGUACCUGUUUCCACUGAAGAGGAAGAAGUCAUUCUCUUCAACCCUAUUACACGACAUAACUCAGCACCACUCUAUAAAUAUAUCACUGAAAAUGACCAUAUGUAUAGAGAAGGAUUGAAGGAGCCUGCUUUAUCUGCUGAUGAAUGCUUGCGCCGAGCAACAUCAAUGUUCAUUGGGAAAAACCAGCCACGAAGUGAUCGAGCAAGUUUUUCUCCUGAUGCCACAAAUGUGAAGUACAACAAACCAUUGAAGGAGUCAGCAACUUACCCUGCUGGACCUCCCUCUCUUAGUGCCUGGGUGUUUGAUAGGGAUAAAUUAGAUUAUGAGCCAGAGAAAGGGAUCAAGAACUUCACUAAACAUGAGUUGACGCCGAUUCAGGAAACAGCUUUUGAAUCCUUGACUGGUCUAUUACAUGACAGAACUAGGGACUCUGUUGCUGGUCCCGCUCAUGUCUCUGCAGCCGCCCAAACUCUUUCUCCUCCUACAUAUGUCGCUCCGGUGCCUUCAGCUCCUUUAUUGCCGGAUGAUGCUACUUGGUCUAGGGGUAACUUGCCAAGUUUUCCUGAGUAUAAGAGUGCACUUGGUAGUAGGGAGACAGACGGCAUUCUUGGUGCUCCACCUGUAAGUGGAUACUCGAAUGGUUCUGCACCUCAUGGACCAUUGGAUUUUAGCCCUGUUCUUCCAGGAUUAGUCCAUGGAUACCCUCCACUACUGGGAAUGAGUUCUUCGGAAUGGCUUUAUCACUACAGAAACAAUCACAAGCUUGAUCAAACCAGUACUCUUUUCUGGCCAGUUCACAUGAAUGGACCAGGACCUCUAUCAAGUUUCCAGACAAAUGAUCUCUCAAGGUUUGAUCUUUUCAGUCAAUGGGGAAAUCCUUUGGCUUCUACUCCAACCUUCUAUAUGGAGAGCCCCCAGUUGCAUCCAGGUUCUUCUCUUGUUUACAGUGCAGGUGACCCACAAAAAGAUAGCCUCCUUUCUUACCAAAGGGCAUCUCCUUUUGUUUGUGGUGCUGUUACCGAUCCAAGACCUGAGCAACAGCCACUUCUUCAUUACCUCAAAGAGAAAGAAUGGCAACUGCAUUCUCCUCAGUUCAGAGGUUCUGCAUUUAUGGGAAACUGAAACCCUGAUAUCUUAAGCACUUCAUGACUGUACAUCUGUCUUUGCUUCAUGCUGUGCUUUGCUUGUUAAUUACUGAUUGCUUCAGAGAAAGUUUCAAUUGCCAAAAAGAUUGAUCUUAACUCACACAGGUUUAUGACUAUUUGUGUACAAUUUACUGGAGAGUGAAGUACGAAAAUUUCCUAGCAGCGUCUGUUUCAUCUUUGAAGCGUUGCGAAAAAGCCAACGCAUUCUCCAUUUUUAAAGCUAUCUGUC